UACGUAGGGUGCAAGCGUUAAUCGGAAUUACUGGGCGUAAAGCGUGCGCAGGCGGUUUUGUAAGUCUGACGUGAAAUCCCCGGGCUCAACCUGGGAACUGCGUUGGAGACUGCAAGGCUGGAGUCUGGCAGAGGGGGGUAGAAUUCCACGUGUAGCAGUGAAAUGCGUAGAGAUGUGGAGGAACACCGAUGGCGAAGGCAGCCCCCUGGGUCAAGACUGACGCUCAUGCACGAAAGCGUGGGGAGCAAACAGG
rnacentral:rRNA from 1 species